AAAUAACAGAAGCAAGAGGUGAAAAGCAAACAGAAGAAACCCCAGCAUUGCUGACCACUUCUUGGGUUUGCCCGGCCCCUUGGCUUUCCACAGGCUGGCCCUGACGAAGCUGGACAUCCUGGACGUACUGGGUGAGAUUAAAGUCGGCGUCUCAUACAAGCUGAACGGGAAAAGGAUUCCCUAUUUCCCAGGUAUGUGAAGUAGGGCAACCGUUCUGCCUGUUGGGCCGUUUCAUGGCAUUGGAAUAGAUGGGACCUGUGAUUUCUCAGAGAGGGGUGAGUUCCCACGUUCACAGGACACAGGGCAAGCAACUUGUCUCCAGUGAUCAGCCUCCAUCAUGGCUUUUGCCUCUCACGGGUUUCUCCCCACAACAUUCCCCAGGAGGCCUGGCUGGGCAGGGGUGGCUGUAGGCCCCUUCCAGUGCUUUGGGAAUGGCUCAGGGGGAGAGACUACUUGCCUGGGACCCUGGGGUACCUUCAGCUGCCUUGAGGAAAAGGCCCACCUGCAGGGGGCCAUGGGAGGUACACAGGAAUUAGUGGAUGCGGUUGGCUCUGGAAAACCUAAAGCUCUAUGCAGAUGUACAAGAUGACUAUUUCAUCUGAGAAAAUAUGCUUUGUGGUGAGAUUUUUAGACCUAACCGGGAUCCCUGCUCCCGUGCAACCCUUCUUCUGGAAAGCAUGAAAGAGAUGCCAUUUUCACAGGUUUCAGUUCGUGUACAUCUGGAUGUGCCCCUUCGACCUCAGUCCUGGGUCAUCUUCUGACCCUGUCCCCCACAAUGACUUCCUCCUCAGUGGCCCUGGGUGAGCUGCUCCUGGCUGGUCUCCACUCAGCACAUCUUUGUAGACCACAGAGGGCCACUUGGCUACAGGAGCCAUGUGUGUCCUUGCAGGCAGUGUCCCUGACCCUCCUGACCCUUGACCUUUGAGAGGAUGCACUUCUGAGGACUGCAAGCUCUCCUCAUGGUGGUCCAGGGUCCCAGGAGGACAUGCAAACACUGCCUGGCUCCAAGGCUCAAACACACUUGCAGCGAGAACCCGUGUUCCAGCAUCUUCCAUCUGUAAGGGUGGUUGUCUUCUACCAGGAGCCACAGAGUCGCGCACAGAGCGGGGAUCCCUGCCCUCUGGGAGCUGAUGCUCUUGGGGUGGGAGGACACAGAUGCUUCAGGAUCCCUUAGUGCUUCAGGAUUCUAGAGUCUCUUAGAAUUUCCAAGCCAAGGCUUGGAGUGCCUCAGCUGAUGUCACAGUGGAAGUUCUAGCAGAGUGGGUAGCACAUGUGUCACGUCCCUCUGGUCUGGAAGGCGUGUAUUCAGUGUCUGAGCCCCACUGCUGUCCCCUGCUCACCACCCAACACUGAGAAAAUCAAACUGGGCCACGUGCCCACUUGCUGCCUUCCUCGCAGCUGAGUCCCUAGGCAAGGAGGCCCUGGAUGGGGGUGGCCGUGUCACCAAAUAUCUGCUUCCCUGGUGAUAGGAGGUCUGUGGGCCCCACUCAUCUCCUGUGUGCUUCCCCCAGCUAACCAGGAGAUGCUUCAGAAGGUCGAAGUCGAAUAUGAAACGCUGCCUGGCUGGAAAGCAGACACCACAGGCGCCAGGAGGUGGGAGGACCUGCCCCCGCAGGCCCAGAACUACAUCCGCUUUGUGGAGAAUCACGUGGGAGUCGCAGUCAAAUGGGUUGGUGUUGGCAAGUCAAGAGAGUCGAUGAUCCAGCUGUUUUAGUCGCAGACUGAGCUGAUCCCAACAGGCCCUGGCAGCGUCUGGACUUGUAUAAACAGCAGCAAUCACGUUCCUCGGCCACCACAACCAACACCAAAGCAGGAAAACCAUUUUCUGUACUUUUAUAUUUCUGUUCAACCUGUUGGUUUCUACAAUGAUUUUAAACAUUGGAAAGCCAGCCUUGUGUAUAUUUUUAAAAAUUAUAUUUAAAAUGAGCCAAAGUGCUCAAAGCAGAGACCUUCUAUGACACCUUAGUGUCACAUGGUUGCGUGUCCAGCCGAAGCAGCGUAAUAAACAUCUCCAAUGGCCGCCG
rnacentral:sRNA from 1 species